GGUUAAGUUAGAAAGGGCGCACGGUGGAUGCCUUGACACUAGGAGUCGAUGAAGGACGGGACUAACGCCGAUAUGCUUCGGGGAGCUGUAAGUAAGCUUUGAUCCGAAGAUUUCCGAAUGGGGAAACCCACCAUACGUAAUGGUAUGGUAUCCUUACCUGAAUACAUAGGGUAAGGAAGACAGACCCAGGGAACUGAAACAUCUAAGUACCUGGAGGAAGAGAAAGCAAAUGCGAUUUCCUGAGUAGCGGCGAGCGAAACGGAACAUAGCCCAAACCAAGAGGCUUGCCUCUUGGGGUUGUAGGACAUUCUAUACGGAGUUACAAAGGAACGAGGUAGACGAAGCGACCUGGAAAGGUCCGUCGUAGAGGGUAACAACCCCGUAGUCGAAACUUCGUUCUCUCUUGAAUGUAUCCUGAGUACGGCGGAACACGUGAAAUUCCGUCGGAAUCUGGGAGGACCAUCUCCCAAGGCUAAAUACUCCCUAGUGAUCGAUAGUGAACCAGUACCGUGAGGGAAAGGUGAAAAGCACCCCGGAAGGGGAGUGAAAGAGAUCCUGAAACCGUGUGCCUACAAAUAGUCAGAGCCCGUUAACGGGUGAUGGCGUGCCUUUUGUAGAAUGAACCGGCGAGUUACGAUCCCGUGCGAGGUUAAGCUGAAGAGGCGGAGCCGCAGCGAAAGCGAGUCUGAAUAGGGCGUUUAGUACGUGGUCGUAGACCCGAAACCAGGUGAUCUACCCAUGUCCAGGGUGAAGUUCAGGUAACACUGAAUGGAGGCCCGAACCCACGCACGUUGAAAAGUGCGGGGAUGAGGUGUGGGUAGCGGAGAAAUUCCAAUCGAACCUGGAGAUAGCUGGUUCUCCCCGAAAUAGCUUUAGGGCUAGCCUUAAGUGUAAGAGUCUUGGAGGUAGAGCACUGAUUGGACUAGGGGUCCUCAUCGGAUUACCGAAUUCAGUCAAACUCCGAAUGCCAAUGACUUAUCCUUAGGAGUCAGACUGCGAGUGAUAAGAUCCGUAGUCAAAAGGGAAACAGCCCAGACCGCCAGCUAAGGUCCCAAAGUGUGUAUUAAGUGGAAAAGGAUGUGGAGUUGCUUAGACAACUAGGAUGUUGGCUUAGAAGCAGCCACCAUUUAAAGAGUGCGUAAUAGCUCACUAGUCGAGUGACUCUGCGCCGAAAAUGUACCGGGGCUAAAUACACCACCGAAGCUGCGGAUUGAUACCGAAUGGUAUCAGUGGUAGGGGAGCGUUCUAAGGACAGUGAAGUCAGACCGGAAGGACUGGUGGAGUGCUUAGAAGUGAGAAUGCCGGUAUGAGUAGCGAAAGACGGGUGAGAAUCCCGUCCACCGAAUGCCUAAGGUUUCCUGAGGAAGGCUCGUCCGCUCAGGGUUAGUCAGGACCUAAGCCGAGGCCGACAGGCGUAGGCGAUGGACAACAGGUUGAUAUUCCUGUACCACCUCUUUAUCGUUUGAGCAAUGGAGGGACGCAGAAGGAUAGAAGAAGCGUGCGAUUGGUUGUGCACGUCCAAGCAGUUAGGCUGAUAAGUAGGCAAAUCCGCUUAUCGUAAAGGCUGAGCUGUGAUGGGGAAGCUCCUUAUGGAGCGAAGUCUUUGAUUCCCCGCUGCCAAGAAAAGCUUCUAGCGAGAUAAAAGGUGCCUGUACCGCAAACCGACACAGGUAGGCGAGGAGAGAAUCCUAAGGUGUGCGAGAGAACUCUGGUUAAGGAACUCGGCAAAAUGACCCCGUAACUUCGGGAGAAGGGGUGCUUUCUUAACGGAAAGCCGCAGUGAAUAGGCCCAAGCGACUGUUUAGCAAAAACACAGCUCUCUGCGAAGCCGUAAGGCGAAGUAUAGGGGGUGACACCUGCCCGGUGCUGGAAGGUUAAGGAGAGGGGUUAGCGUAAGCGAAGCUCUGAACUGAAGCCCCAGUAAACGGCGGCCGUAACUAUAACGGUCCUAAGGUAGCGAAAUUCCUUGUCGGGUAAGUUCCGACCCGCACGAAAGGUGUAACGAUUUGGGCACUGUCUCAACCAGAGACUCGGUGAAAUUAUAGUACCUGUGAAGAUGCAGGUUACCCGCGACAGGACGGAAAGACCCCGUGGAGCUUUACUGUAGCCUGAUAUUGAAUUUUGGUACAGUUUGUACAGGAUAGGCGGGAGCCUUUGAAACCGGAGCGCUAGCUUCGGUGGAGGCGCUGGUGGGAUACCGCCCUGACUGUAUUGAAAUUCUAACCUACGGGUCUUAUCGACCCGGGAGACAGUGUCAGGUGGGCAGUUUGACUGGGGCGGUCGCCUCCUAAAGUGUAACGGAGGCGCCCAAAGGUUCCCUCAGAAUGGUUGGAAAUCAUUCGUAGAGUGCAAAGGCAUAAGGGAGCUUGACUGCGAGACCUACAAGUCGAGCAGGGACGAAAGUCGGGCUUAGUGAUCCGGUGGUUCCGCAUGGAAGGGCCAUCGCUCAACGGAUAAAAGCUACCCCGGGGAUAACAGGCUUAUCUCCCCCAAGAGUCCACAUCGACGGGGAGGUUUGGCACCUCGAUGUCGGCUCAUCGCAUCCUGGGGCUGUAGUCGGUCCCAAGGGUUGGGCUGUUCGCCCAUUAAAGCGGUACGCGAGCUGGGUUCAGAACGUCGUGAGACAGUUCGGUCCCUAUCCGUCGUGGGCGUAGGAAAUUUGAGAGGAGCUGUCCUUAGUACGAGAGGACCGGGAUGGACGCACCGCUGGUGUACCAGUUGUUCUGCCAAGGGCAUAGCUGGGUAGCUAUGUGCGGAAGGGAUAAGUGCUGAAAGCAUCUAAGCAUGAAGCCCCCCUCAAGAUGAGAUUUCCCAUAGCGUAAGCUAGUAAGAUCCCUGAAAGAUGAUCAGGUUGAUAGGUUCGAGGUGGAAGCAUGGUGACAUGUGGAGCUGACGAAUACUAAUAGAUCGAGGACUUAACCAU
rnacentral:rRNA from 1 species